rnacentral:rRNA from 1 species
GAGGCGUGCAAGGGCUGUCGCUGACUUUUAACGCAAAAGUCGUGCACGCUGGAGUGCGUCCUCUACACAUAAAAUCCAUCUCACCCUUUUGUGCACCACCGCGUGGGCACCCUUCGGGAUCAAACCGAUCCAGGAAGGGGGCUUGCGUUUUCACACAAACCCCUUUUUAAAAGUGUAGAAUGACCCCAUUUUUUGCGAUAACACGCAAUCAAUACAACUUUCAACAACGGAUCUCUUGGCUCUCGCAUCGAUGAAGAACGCAGCGAAAUGCGAUACGUAAUGUGAAUUGCAGAAUUCAGUGAAUCAUCGAAUCUUUGAACGCACCUUGCGCCCCUUGGUAUUCCGAGGGGCACACCCGUUUGAGUGUCGUGAAAAUCUCAACCUUCUCGGUUUCUUCUGGAAACCAAAGGAGGCUUGGACUUUGGAGGCCUUUGCUGGCGUCUCUCUCUUUUGAGAGCCCAGCUCCUCUUAAAUGAAUUAGCGGGGUCCUCUUUGCUGGUCCUCGACAUGUGAUAAGAUGCUUCCAUGUCUUGGUUUCUGGCUCUGUUGCUUUUGGGACCCGCUUCUAACCGUCUCGACGAGACAACGUUUGAGCACGUCUCC